UGGGCACCGUAACCCGGCUUC
rnacentral:siRNA from 1 species